rnacentral:rRNA from 1 species
CCCUUAGAUGUUCUGGGCCGCACGCGCGCUACACUGACGAAUGCAACGAGCUUAUAACCUUGGCCGAAAGGUCUGGGUAAUCUCCAAAUUUCGUCGUGAUGGGGAUAGAUUAUUGCAAUUAUUAAUCUUCAACGAGGAAUGCCUAGUAAGCGCAAGUCAUCAGCUUGCGUUGAUUACGUCCCUGCCCUUUGUACACACCGCCCGUCGCUCCUACCGAUUGAAUGGUCCGGUGAAGCGUUCGGACCGUGGCCUUUGGACGGUUCGCCGUCUGUUGGCUGCGGGAAGACUCCCAAACUUGAGCGUUUAGAGGAAGUAAAANUCGUANCA